UGGGUAGUCCGCACGAGCGCACCUUACUUUUAGUUGCUACCAUUUAGUUGGGCACUCUAAAAGAACUGCCAGUGAUAAGCUGGAGGAAGGUGGGGAUGACGUCAAGUCCUCAUGGCCCUUAUGUGUUGGGCUACACACGUGCUACAAUGGUACUUACAGUGAGAAGCUAAGAGGCGACUCCAAGCUAAUCCCAAAAAAGUGCCUCAGUUCGGAUUGUACUCUGCAACUCGAGUACAUGAAGCUGGAAUUACUAGUAAUCGCGGAUCAGCGCGCCGCGGUGAAUACGUUCCCGGGUCUGGUACACACCGCCCGUCACACCAUGGAAGUUGGUUACACCUUAAGGCAAGGAUUAAAAUCUUUGACUACGGUACGAUCAGCGACUGGGGUGAAGUCGUAACAAGGUAGCCGUAGGGGAACCUGCGGCUGGAUCACCUCCUUUCU
rnacentral:rRNA from 1 species